rnacentral:rRNA from 1 species
UACGUAGGGUGCAAGCGUUAAUCGGAAUUACUGGGCGUAAAGCGUGCGCAGGCGGCUUUGCAAGACAGAUGUGAAAUCCCCGGGCUUAACCUGGGAACUGCAUUGUGACUGCAUGGCUCGAGUGCGGCAGAGGGGAUGGAAUUCCGCGUGUAGCAGUGAAAUGCGUAGAUAUGCGGAGGAACACCGAUGGCGAAGGCAAUCCCCUGGGCCUGCACUGACGCUCAUGCACGAAAGCGUGGGGAGCAAACAGG